AUUAAAGCGAUGAUUGAGAGAGUAGACGGUCAUGGAGGAUACAAGAGAGAAGAUACCAAAGGCUGAGAGUAUCUUUAUCGGUUCGGGCCGUUGAAAUUCCCUCAGGAGCUGCAUUCUGAACACCGGAAGGAAAAUGGCGUAUAAAGUAAAGCCGGUAAGUAGGAAGUGCCGGGUUGCAUCCGUUAUUUGCAAAAGAGUGCUUGUAUAUCCCAAAAGAUAUACAAGAAUUUGGGUGGUACCGCGAAGCAAACCUUCGUCCCUUUG
rnacentral:ncRNA from 1 species